GUGGGGAAUCUUAGACAAUGGGCGCAAGCCUGAUCUAGCCAUGCCGCGUGAGCGAUGAAGGCCUUAGGGUUGUAAAGCUCUUUCGUGGGGGAAGAUAAUGACUGUACCCCAAGAAGAAGCCCCGGCUAACUCCGUGCCAGCAGCCGCGGUAAUACGGAGGGGGCUAGCGUUGUUCGGAAUUACUGGGCGUAAAGCGCACGUAGGCGGACUGGAAAGUCAGGGGUGAAAUCCCGGGGCUCAACCCCGGAACUGCCUUUGAAACUCCCAGUCUUGAGUUCGAGAGAGGUGAGUGGAAUUCCGAGUGUAGAGGUGAAAUUCGUAGAUAUUCGGAGGAACACCAGUGGCGAAGGCGGCUCACUGGCUCGAUACUGACGCUGAGGUGCGGAAGCGUGGGGAGCAAACAGGAUUAGAAACCCGGGUAGUCC
rnacentral:rRNA from 1 species